UGUUGAAAAUGAAUGAAAUGAUGCCCAGUUGUUAAAAAAACAUUGGCAACUUUGUAACAUAUAACUAUGAAAAUUGGGUCUAAAAUACAUGAGAGCGGGUCUACGUCUCUGGGCGACGCCAUAUUAGAUGACAUGUUUCCUUCUACAUGAGGCCAAAACGCAUUUACUGAUUUGUAACGAGUGGUUGCAAAAGUUUUGCCAUUUAAAACAUUGUUGUUUUACACAUUUACCUCUUCGCUCAUUUUCCAGUGAUGAAAAGGAGUCGGAUGUGUGUCAUUUUGCUGGAAGUAUAACGAUCUGAUGAAGUAUACUUUCGAAAUCUGCACGCCCAGGGAUCUUUGAUCCUAAUGGCCAUCCGUUGGUGAGCUGUCUGGCGGCGGCAUCCAUCAGUAUCUGUAUCGAGCCAUGUGCCCGCAGCACUAUGGAUAAAACCGGCGCACCAAAGGAUAACAACAUCACAUGGUGGAUGCCUCACGGUUGACGCGUACUUCCAGCUGAUCCAGUAUAGCAUCGGCCUUCCACCAAACAAGCAGGUGAGCAUUAGAUGAGACGGUUUUGCUAGAAGGCUGGAAAGUCUGAGACAACGGUCGUUUAUGCAUCAGGUUCUUUCACAUGCUCUCGGGCCUCUUAACUGUAAUUGAAAACACAUUUUUUGCGCUGUGCUGAAAGAAAAAAAACAUGUUUUUGCAAACUGGCAAAAAUGUUCUCAAUGAAAAAAUGAUUGACUCAUAAACGGAGUAAAACACCGAUCUCCAUCAGAACAUACUGUGCCUCAAAAAUGAUGAUUUUAAGGGACAGCAGUAGCUCAGGAGGUGGAGCGUGUUGUCCAGUAAUCGGGAGGUUGUGGGUUCGAUCCCGGCUUUGACAAGAGCCCUGCCGGUCUCUGCCCUGUUGUGUCCUUGGGCAAGAGUCUUAACCCGGAGGGACCGAUGGCACCAGUGCUCAGCAGGUCUCGCCUCCGUCAGUGCACCCCAGGGCAGCUGUAGCUACAGUGUAGCUCAUCCCCACCACCAUGUGAAUGGGUGAAUAACUGAUUGUGUUGUGAAGCACCUUGGGGGGUUGUAGGACCCUAAAGGUUGGUUUAUGCUUGACGCGUCCGCGAGGUCCGCACAGUGAAAUUGCGUCAUUUUAACAACCACACCUCUCCACCGCACGGCCCAAAAUUUCCACACCGUGCACCUAGGACAUUUUCUAAACACGCGGACGGUCGGACGCGGAAAAACAUGGCGGGCUGGCAAGAACUAGUAUGGCAGAGGUUCGUAAAUACAGACAUUUGUAUGAUUCAGCUCUCAGAGAUCACUGUGAUCAACAUGUUGUUAAUAAUUCUUGGAGAGAAAUAGCUCGCACUGUCGGAAAAGACGAGGACGCUGUUAAAAAUGCUGGAAUGCCAUGUUGUAAACAACAGUAGUUUCUAAUUCUACUACGGUGUAGUGUUGGAUGCAUGCCGUAGAGCUCCAUGCUGCCCCCUACAGUUUGGGAGAAUAUUGGCUCACCGCAGAGACAAGCCGCAUGAACCAUAAACGCUGCGAGUUGUGAAGCGCGUUCCAUCCACGAGCCGCAUCACCAAGCGGAAAGUAGAUGAGUCAAGCAUAAACCAAGCUUUAGAAGGCCCUGUAUGUAUACAGGUCAUUCACCAUUUGAAUGCUUCUGGCCUCAAAUGUAUGUAUGUAAACGUAUGCCACAUCCAAGUUGUUUUUGCCCUUUCCGCUUCAUGACCUCAUUGUUACCAUUCUAAUUGUGUCACUUCAUCAGCUGUUAUCCGUUUCUUCAUGAUGUGUCACCGCACAAGAGAGGUCACUUGAGAUCAGAUGCUAUUUGUCACAGCUCAGUUCAUGUUUAGCAGAUGCAGCAGGGGGAGGCGGUGGUGGGCUUCAGCAGAGAGAACAGAGGCAAAGAGGGGCCUUAUCAUUCCAUGUGGAGGCAGCUGAUGACACGCUAAUGAACCUUAGCUGCCGUCAUUCACCCACUCAGUCACAUAUACACACCAGUACCCACACAAUUUAUGUCACUCCUCUUAUUGCUCCAUUUCUUUAUCCUCCAAUUUCCAGUGUGUGUGUACGGUGGCAAACACACACACACACGAACAUUACAAACACUCCACAUGCUUUAUCUUCAUCAUCGCUGUGGGCUGAGUUGACUCACAGCCAUCGACACCAGCCACUUAGCAAAGGCCCCUGAUCAUGAGAGAAGUAUGGCCCUGAUGACAAUGGGCAGAGAGCAUGUGGGAGUCCCUCCCGGGCUGUUUGAGCUGUUGUGAUGUUUACAGAAUUGGCCCUGACACUCGAUCUGCCUCCCACACAGGAAGAAGCCAAAAAAGAUGUGAUCAUUGCAGUUUUGUCAAGGAUGUAUAAUGAGUUUUUAUUUUCUAUAUGUCCACAGUUAGUUUGUGAGAACAAAAUGCUAAAGAAGACUUUCAGUAACAGUACAAGACUGAUGAUGCCCGGACAGCUUCCCUACAGCUUCUGAACAUCUGGAAUGCAAAGAAACUGUCAGCAAAGACUAAAACUCAUCUCAUCUAUGGAGCAGAGACAUGGAGGACCACAGCUGUAACCGCCAGAAAAGUACAGGUGAUCAUCCAAAGCUGCAUGCGUCAAAUAAUCCACAUCCACCGGCAAGAAACCAUCAGCAGCAAUGAGCGUUUGCAGAAAACAAAUCAGCUGCAGAAGAGCAAACUGAGAAACAAUAGUGGGCACACCUUAUGAAAACCAAGAACUAGACCAGACUUGUAUUGGAAUCCACAAGAAAAAUGGAAAAGAGGUAAUCAAGAAGCACCAAGACCUGGAGGAAGAGACGUCAAUGCCGUCAGACAGACGUGGGACCAGCUGGAGAGAAAGGCCCAGGGCCUUGGACGUAUUUGACUCUAGAAGUGGGGGGAAA